rnacentral:rRNA from 1 species
CAGUAAGGGCGAGUGAAGCGGCACAGCUCAAAUUUGAAAUCUGGCUCCUUCGGGGUCCGAAUUGUAAUUUGCAGAGAGUGCUUCGGGCGAGACCUCGGUCUAAGUCCAUUGGAACAUGGUGUCAUAGAGGGUGAGAAUCCCGUAUGCGACCGUGGCUCGAGCCCAUGUGAAGCCUCUUCGACGAGUCGAGUUGUUUGGGAAUGCAGCUCUAAAUGGGUGGUAAAUUUCAUCUAAAGCUAAAUACUGGCUGGAGACCGAUAGCGCACAAGUAGAGUGAUCGAAAGAUGAAAAGCACUUUGGAAAGAGAGUCAAACAGUACGUGAAAUUGUUGAAAGGGAAGCGCUUGCAACCAGACCUGCCCGUAGGCGAUCAGCCGCUGUUCUCAGCGGUGUACUCGCUCUGCGAUCAGGCCAGCAUCGGUUUCGGCGGUCGGAUAAAGGCCUUGGGAAUGUAGCUUCCCUUCGGGGGAGUCUUAUAGCCCUCGGUGUAAUGCGGCCAGCCGGGACCGAGGACCGCGCUUCGGCUAGGAUGCUGGCGUAAUGGUUGUAAGCGACCCGUCUUGAAACACGGACCAAGGAGUCUAACAUCUAUGCGAGUGUUUGGGUGUCAAACCCAUACGCGGAAUGAAAGUGAACGGAGGUGAGAACCCUUAAGGGCGCAUCAUCGACCGAUCCAGAUGUCUUCGGAUGGAUUUGAGUAUGAGCAUAGCUGUUGGGACCCGAAAGAUGGUGAACUAUGCCUGAAUAGGGUGAAGCCAGAGGAAACUCUGGUGGAGGCUCGCAGCGGUUCUGACGUGCAAAUCGAUCGUCAAAUUUGGGUAUAGGGGCGAAAGACUAAUC